GCUAAGUGGUUCCUAGGCAGUUGCUAAUGUUUUCCAGGUGGUUGCUAAGUGGUUGCUAGGCAGUUGCUAACAUAUUCCAGGUGGUUGCUAGGCAGUUGCUAAGUGGUUGCUAGGCAGUUGCUAACGUUUUCCAAGUGGUUGCUAGGCAGUUGCUAAGUGGUUGCUAGGCAGUUGCUAACGUUUUCCAAGUGGUUGCUAGGCAGUUGCUAAGUGGUUGCUAGGCAGUUGCUAACAUUUUCCAGGUGGUUGCUAAGUGGUUGCUAGGUAGUUGCUAACAUAUUCCAGGUGGUUGCUAGGCAGCUGCUAAGUGGUUGCUAGGCAGUUGCUAACGUUUUCCAGGUGGUUGCUAAGUGGUUGCUAGGCAGUUGCUAACGUUUUCCAGGUGGCUGCUAGGCAGUUGCUAAGUGGUUGCUAGGCAGUUGCUAACGUUUUCCAAAUGGUUGCUAGGCAGUUGCUAAGUGGUUGCUAGGCAGUUGCUAACGUUUUCCAGGUGGUUGCUAAGUGGUUGCUAGGCAGUUGCUAACGUAUUCCAGGUGGUUGCUAGGCAGUUGCUAAGUGGUUGCUAUGCAGUUGCUAACGUUUUCCAAGUGGUUGCUAGGCAGUUGCUAAGUGGUUGCUAGGCAGUUGCUAACGUUUUCCAGGUGGUUGCUAAGUGGUUGCUAGGCAGUUGCUAACGUUUUCCAGGUGGUUGCUAGGCAGUUGCUAAGUGGUUGCUAGGCAGUUGCUAACGUUUUCCAAGUGGUUGCUAGGCAGUUGCUAAGUGGUUGCUAGGCAGUUGCUAACGUUUUCCAGGUGGUUGCUAAGGUGUUGCUAAGUGGUUGCUAGGCAGUUGCUAACGUUUUCCAGGUGGUUGCUAAGGUGGUUGCUAAGCAGUUAUUAGGUGGUUGCUAAGCCCUGGCUGGGGUGCCAGGGUGUCCAAACUUUUGACUGAUAGCUGCUCCAUACAGCAGCUCCUCCAUACACUCACAGUACUGGAGGAGCAGGGGAGAGAAGGGGUUCCGUGCGCAGAGCUGCUCGUGUGUGAGAUGGAACUCUGGGCCCCCCAUUCAUUUCAAUGGGAAAACUUCGUACGACAUUUGUACGAAAACCGUACAACGUAUCGUCGAAACGUUAAAAUUUUCGGAAAGAACGCGGUAAGUUCUAUAGACCGUCCGAUUUUUGUCUUUGUAUGUCAAAAAUUGUUACCUACACAAACGUUCAAAGUUGUCCCCCAUUCAUUUCCUAUGGGAAAAAAAAGCGUACGUUUACGAAGUUUUUACGAAAACCGUACGAUGUAUCGCUUAAAAAAGCACAAGCAACCUAUUCGGGUAUAGGUCCUACGAUACUGCAAAGUUUUGUGGUUCUACGUCAAAAGCCCUAGGAGGAGAUAGUGAUUAAAUUUUGCGAAUAGAAUAAUAAUAAUAAGAAUAAGAUUACGAAGAACAAUAAGUUGGCUUUUCCAAGCCAACUUAAUAAAUAACACUGCUUUAUUACCAGGCUACUAGCGGUGGUGUGUAGGUGACGCUGCUGGGCUGAUGUGAUGAUAGCAGUGGAGCGCUAAAGUUCAGGAGCAGCUGCUGAUUAACUAGUUAAUUUAAGGUCGUUGUAUUUCUUCAGAAAGGGGGCAGGAGGUGGAGAAAUUAAUUCAUAUGGUCCAUUCCUUAAUUCCUCUGUGAUGAGGAGCUGAAAUUAGCUCUGAUUAGCUUAUUGUAUUUUUCCGUUCCGCCUUAAAUGCUGCAGCCCGCUGCCACCUGUAGCGUUAUUUAAGGUGGAACUGGAAAGUUAGCUAGUUAGCUAGCUAACAGUUACUGAAACUAACUACUAGCGAUCUUUUUUAUGCUUGUUAUGAAGCAUUCUGCCAUAAAACAUUAAAACUACACGUUAAUCUAAUGUAAUAUAGUGCUUGUUCUGCCAUCUUACCGGUGAUUCUCAAACACCUACGCUCUGUGUGUCUGGAAGAUCUCCGUUUGAAAGGACAAGCGCUAUCCCCAGGGUUGCCAGGUCCAACAAAAAUACCCAGCCCAAAAUCAGUCUAAAACCCGCCCCUCAGAAUCGAUUUUGGGACAUUUUAAAUCGAUUCUGAAUCGUAGUAAAUGAGAAUCAAGAUUCUUAUGUGAAUCGAUUUUUUGGCACACCUC